rnacentral:rRNA from 1 species
AGUGAACGCUGGCGGUAUGCCUAACACAUGCAAGUCGAACGGCAGCACACUAACAGCUUGCUCGUACGGGUGGCGAGUGGCGGACUGGUGAGGAAUACAUCGGCAUCUACUCUUUCGUGGGGGGGAACGUAGGGAAACUUGCUCUACUCUCCCAUACGGCCUACGGGUGAUAGCAGGGUUUCUUCUGACCUUGCGCGAUAGAAUGAGCCGAUGGCGGAUUAGCUAGUUGGUGGGGUAAAGGCGCACCAAGCCGACGAUCCGUAGCUGGUCUGGGAGAAUGAUCAGCCAGACUGGAACGGAGACACGGUCCAGACUCAUACGUGCGGCAGCAGUGGGGAAUAUUGGACAAUGGGCGCAAGCCAGAUCCAGACGUACCGCGUGGGUGCAGAAGGCGUUCGGGUUGUAAAGCCGUUUCGUUGGGAAAGAAAAGAAGCAGGUUAAUCCCGCGCUGUUCUGACGGUACCCAAAGAAUAAGCACCGGCUAACUUCGUG